UUUUAGAGCUGAAUAUACUGAGUGCUUUA
rnacentral:piRNA from 1 species